GAUGAACGCUGGCGGCGUGCCUAAUACAUGCAAGUCGAGCGAACAGACGAGGAGCUUGCUCCUCUGACGUUAGCGGCGGACGGGUGAGUAACACGUGGAUAACCUACCUAUAAGACUGGGAUAACUUCGGGAAACCGGAGCUAAUACCGGAUAAUAUAUUGAACCGCAUGGUUCAAUAGUGAAAGACGGUUUUGCUGUCACUUAUAGAUGGAUCCGCGCCGCAUUAGCUAGUUGGUAAGGUAACGGCUUACCAAGGCGACGAUGCGUAGCCGACCUGAGAGGGUGAUCGGCCACACUGGAACUGAGACACGGUCCAGACUCCUACGGGAGGCAGCAGUAGGGAAUCUUCCGCAAUGGGCGAAAGCCUGACGGAGCAACGCCGCGUGAGUGAUGAAGGUCUUCGGAUCGUAAAACUCUGUUAUUAGGGAAGAACAAAUGUGUAAGUAUCUAUGCACGUCUUGACGGUACCUAAUCAGAAAGCCACGGCUAACUACGUG
rnacentral:rRNA from 1 species